UACGGGGGGGGGCAAGCGUUGUUCGGAAUUAUUGGGCGUAAAGCGCACGUAGGCGGUUUGUUAAGUCGGAUGUGAAAUCCCUCGGCUCAACUGAGGAAGUGCAUCCGAAACUGGCAGGCUUGAGUACUAAAGAGGGUCGCGGAAUUCCCGGUGUAGAGGUGAAAUUCGUAGAUAUCGGGAGGAACACCAGUGGCGAAGGCGGAGACCUGGGCCGAUACUGACGCUGAGGUGCGAAAAGCGUGGGGGAGCAAACAGG
rnacentral:rRNA from 1 species